CGACAGCAGCCGCUCCUCAGUCCGGUCGGUGCACGAGUGUUUUCUUUGCCGUAUCACUUCUUCACUGAUCCGAGAGCAAAAUGGUUUUGCAGCAUCAUCCUUCAUAUGAGUAAGUCGCGAAUCCACGCCAACUUUCCACGAAAUGGUCUCA